rnacentral:miRNA from 2 species
UUCCCUUUCUCAUCCUAUGCCU